CCCCACUGCUAUCGGGAUAGGACUAAGACAUGCUAGUUGAGCGCUUCCAGCCAACACGGGAGCGCAGCGCACAGCUCAGUAACACGUGGCUAAUCUGCCCUUGGGACCGGAACACCCCCGGGAAACUGGGGCUAAUUCUCGAUAGGUGAAGAACUCUGGAAUGAGUCUUUGCCAAAAAGACGUUUGCGUUAUGCUCGUAGGCGUCGCCCAAGGAUGAGGCCGCGACCGAUCAGGUUGUUGGUGAGGUAAUGGCUCACCAAGCCUUUUACCGGUGCGGGCCGUGAGAGCGGGAGCCCGGAGAUGGGCACUGAGACAAGGGCCCAGGCCCUACGGGGCGCAGCAGUCGCGAAAACUUUGCAAUACACGAAAGUGUGACAGGGCUAUCCCGAGUGCCAUCCGCUGAGGAAGGCUUUUACCCAGUCUAGAACGCUGGGGGAAUAAGGAGAGGGCAAGUCUGGUGUCAGCCGCCGCGGUAAUACCAGCUCUCCGAGUGGUGUGGAUGUUUAUUGGGCCUAAAGCAUCCGUAGCUGGCUAAGUUAGUCCCUUGUUAAAUCCACCGAAUUAAUCGUUGGAUUGCGGGGGAUACUGCUUGGCUAGGGGACGAGAGAGGCAGACGGUAUUUCCGGGGUAGGGGUGAAAUCCUAUAAUCCCGGGAAGACCACCAGUGGCGAAGGCUGUCUGCUAGAACGCGCCCGACGGUGAGGGAUGAAAGCUGGGGGAGCGAACCGGAUUAGAUACCCGGGUAGUCCCAGCUGUAAACGAUGCACGCUAGGUGUUUGGACGGCCACGUGCCGUUCUAGUGCCGCAGGGAAGCUGUUAAGCCUGCCGCCUGGGGAGUACGAUCGCAAGAUUGAAACUUAAAGGAAUUGGCGGGGGAGCACCACAAGGGGUGAAGCUUGCGGUUU
rnacentral:rRNA from 1 species